GCCCACUGUUAGUGAAUGGGACUGUGCACCAUGGACCACUCUCCUGAGAACCUUCCCUCAUCUAUGAUAACGCUUACGUCAUCUCAAUUAAGCCAUGAUCCUUUAUGGAGAUAAUUAGCUGUAAAACAUCCUGUCACAGGAGGCUAGCCAGCCUGCCAGAGAUUCUCUUGUCUCCACCCCCAUCUUCCCAUAAGAGGGCUGGGACUGCGCAGUUCGGUGCCUGCAAGAAGUGCACCUCUUUGUGUUCUGAGUCGUAUGGGUGGAGUUAUCAAAGAAAAGAGACACUGCAGGAUGAAUUUAGCCUUCUCAGCAGCAGCGAGUCAGCCUCCCAAGGACUGAAUGCUGCCAGCUUCCUUGAAGCUCUUUAUUGUCACACAACGGCACUUUGAGCAGGUCAAUUUCUGAAUAUCAGAGUAUCUGAUGAGUUGUCUUGAAAGACUUAUCCCUAAGCAACAUUCAGCCAUGAGACUUCCUGGUUUGUCAGGAAUGUCUUGAAACUACGUUAUGAAAAGAUUCUAAGACUGCCAAAAGAACAAGCCCAUAAAAUGUCAGAAAAAAAAAUCACUGAGAAAAGGCUACUUUAAAGCCUAGGCGCUGUCAGUCACUGGAACUCAUGCUGACACGAUGGCUCUGCUACCGUUCCCCUUCUGUUUAAGCUACAUUUCUUUACGUUAAGGGUGACACACCAGAAGAGGGCGUCAGAUCAUUACGGAUGGUUGUGAGCCAUCAUGUGGUUGUUGGGAUUUGAACUCCGGACCUUCAGAAGAGCUAAGAGCUGCCGGGUGCUCUUACCCACUCAGGAACAGCAAGAUGCUGGUUGGUGGGGUUUGAGUGGCGGAGGCGUCAAGAGUGGGAGACGCAGAUCCAUAAGGGAGAGAGAUGGGAGGAUGAUGAUCAAGGGCUACAGAAUUCCAGCUACCGGACAGAAGCUCAGAGAUGUGUCAUGAAACAUGGACUUCGAUGGAUGGUUUUGAAAAGACAGAGAGGGUGGACAUUAAGUGUACUCACUCCAAAAAUGUGAGUUAGAUUAAGUCAUCCCAAAGGACAUAAAUACGGUACAGAUUUACACAAUACAAACAGUUCGUCGCAACAUUUGGAAAAACACUCUGCUCUAUGGUAUAUUCACCUUCCUUGUUUUUGAAAUAGGUUCUCACUGUGUAGGCCAGCUGGCCUGAAACGUGUUAUGGGGAUCAAGCUGCUACAGAAUUCACAUUGCCCUUCCUGCUUCUUUCUGCCUCGUUGUACCCCACAAAGCCUAGCUUUUCUGUUUGAGUGGCUUUCUUAAACAUCCACCAGCAAUCGCAUUGUUUCUCACACUCCCUUGUCCUGCAGAACACUGAGUGGAAUGAACCCAAGAUGGCCUCACAGAGCAACAACUAAAGCACACCAGGCCCUUAGGAUAUGGCGGCACUGCACUAACAGGCUUCACCACAGGCAUCCUAAGGUUCCUGACAGGCCUGGAGAGCCUGAGGGGACAGAACCAAGACUCCAACCCAGAUGGAGGGGAGGGGAGGGGAGGGGGAGAGAGCCUACCACUUUCCCAAUCUCAAAAUCUACUAGAAAACAAAAACCUCCACUCUUCCGCUGCUUUGAAAUGAAGACCUGUAAGAAGAUCUAAGGCCAUCUGACGUGUGACACCAUCCAAAUAGAAAUCGAUUUAGCACAUCGGAGUUUGAAAGCCCUUUUGUUAACCUCUGUCGGUUCCUAUCUAUAACAUGGUCGGUGAGGUGGGGGGAGUGAAGAGAAAGCGACAAGCACGGUGAUAAUGCAAAUAGCUCAAGAAAUCUGCUGUUGCACAUGGCCACCAGGUGGCAUUAGGGUUCCAAAGAAAACCGGGCUCCAUCAGAGAUCACCGAGCAGAGAGAAAGGAGAGAGAGAACUGAAGAACUGUGAAGUCGUUCAAUAGGGAAAUUCAGGGGGAAAAAAAUGAAGACAAAUUAAAAAGCAACAAGCAAGAUGGUACUGCCAGGUAUGAAAGCAGCA
rnacentral:lncRNA from 1 species